rnacentral:rRNA from 1 species
AUACGUAGGGGGCGAGCGUUGUCCGGAAUGAUUGGGCGUAAAGGGCGCGUAGGCGGCCCGGUAAGUCUGGAGUGAAAGUCCUGUUUUUAAGAUGGGAAUUGCUUUGGAUACUGUCGGGCUUGAGUGCAGGAGAGGUAAGUGGAAUUCCCAGUGUCGCGGUGAAAUGCGUAGAGAUUGGGAGGAACACCAGUGGCGAAGGCGACUUACUGGACUGUAACUGACGCUGAGGCGCGAAAGUGUGGGGAGCAAACAGGAUUAGAUACCCUGGUAGUCCACACUGUAAACGAUGAAUGCUAGGUGUAGGGGGUAUCGACCCCUUCUGUGCCGCAGUCAACACAAUAAGCAUUCCGCCUGGGGAGUACGGCCGCAAGGUUGAAACUCAAAGGAAUUGACGGGG